rnacentral:rRNA from 1 species
UACGUAGGGUGCAAGCGUUAAUCGGAAUUGCUGGGCGUAAAGCGUGCGCAGGCGGUGAUGUAAGACAGAUGUGAAAUCCCCGGGCUCAACCUGGGAACUGCAUUUGUGACUGCAUCGCUGGAGUGCGGCAGAGGGGGAUGGAAUUCCGCGUGUAGCAGUGAAAUGCGUAGAUAUGCGGAGGAACACCGAUGGCGAAGGCAAUCCCCUGGGCCUGCACUGACGCUCAUGCACGAAAGCGUGGGGAGCAACAGG